rnacentral:pre_miRNA from 1 species
CAAAUACUCCCUCUGUCCGGAAAUACUUGUCAUCAAAAUGAAUAAAAGGGGAUGUAUCUAGAUGUAUAUUAGUUCUAGAUACAUCCUUUUUUAUUCAUUUUGAUGACAAGUAUUUUCGGACGAAGGGAGUACUAG